rnacentral:rRNA from 1 species
UACGGAGGGUGCAAGCGUUGUCCGGAUUUAUUGGGUUUAAAGGGUGCGUAGGCGGCUUAUUAAGUCAGGGGUGAAAGACUAUUGCUUAACAAUGGCAGUGCCUUUGAUACUGAUAGGCUUGAGUACAGUUGAGGCAGAUGGAACGGGUGGUGUAGCGGUGAAAUGCAUAGAUACCAUCCAGAACACCGAUUGCGAAGGCAGUCUGCUAAACUGUAACUGACGCUGAGGCACGAAAGCGUGGGGAUCGAAC